UACGAAGGGGGCAAGCGUUGUUCGGAAUUACUGGGCGUAAAGGGCUCGUAGGUGGCCAACUAAGUCAGACGUGAAAUCCCUCAGCUUAACUGGGGAACUGCGUCUGAUACUGGAUGGCUUGAGUUUGGGAGAGGGAUGCGGAAUUCCAGGUGUAGCGGUGAAAUGCGUAGAUAUCUGGAGGAACACCGGUGGCGAAGGCGGCAUCCUGGACCAACACUGACACUGAGGAGCGAAAGCCAGGGGAGCAAACGGG
rnacentral:rRNA from 1 species